GAGGAUGGCCCGGUAUCGCGAGAGCCGCGUGCCGCGACCGGAGCGCUGGAUGGCGCUGGCGGGGGCUGGAUGCGCCCACGGCUCGCCCUCCCUCAGCCGUUAAAUCACACGGUGGGACACGCGAGUGGACGGAGACUGGCGGCGGCGGUGACAGACUGACGGACGGACGGACGGCACACGGGGCAAAGUUAAAGUGAAGAGAACAUGGAAGGAGUUUCCACACGGGAGCAGCAGUGCCACCUAAUCGACAUUUAUCUGACAGAAGCAGCCAAAGGACACCUUGGACAAGCUCUCAUGUCCUCAAACACAAACCACUAAAUCCAAGGAGCUAAAAAAAGAAAGGAAGCAAAAAAAACAAAAACAACAACCACUCGCUGCAGCAAGAGGACUGAUUCAGAUUUGUGAAAUACGGCUGGAAAGCGGGAGCAGUUUAUGGGUGCCAAAUCCUCUUCCAGGACACAUCACUUCUCCUCGAUCUACUGUCACCACCUCCCUUGUCUCCAUCCCUUCAUUUCCUCCUCCUCUGCCUUUGUCUCAUUCUCCAUCUUUCUCUCUCAUGGGAGUGACAUAGAGGCCGUCGCUUGCUCUGCUGCCCCGCCUCUUCCCCUUCCCCGCCGCGCCGUGGAAACGGGGGCGUCCGGGUAGUGAUGUCGUGGAAGAGGAACUAUUUUGCAUCAGGCGGCGGAGCAGUAGGCGGGGUGCAGGGGCUGGUGACCCCGAGAACCAUGACCUCGAUUGCACCCAGCAAAGGCCUCAGCAACGAGCCGGGACAGAACAGCUGCUUCCUCAACAGCGCUCUGCAGGUUUUGUGGCACCUCGACAUCUUUCGCCGAAGCUUUCGACAGCUAACGACGCACAAGUGCAUGGAGGACUCGUGCAUCUUCUGCGCCUUGAAGAGUAUCUUUGCUCAGUUCCAGUUCAGCAGUGAGCGUGUGCUGCCGUCAGAUGCACUGCGGAGCGCUCUGGCCAAGACUUUUCAAGACGAACAACGCUUUCAGCUGGGUAUCAUGGAUGACGCUGCCGAGUGCUUUGAGAACCUCCUGAUGCGAAUCCACUUCCACAUCAGUGCUGAGAGUAGAGAGGACAUCUGCACAGCCAAACACUGCAUACCACACCAGAAGUUUGCCAUGACUCUGUUUGAACAGUGUGUGUGUAACAGCUGCGGCGCCACAUCAGACCCCCUGCCCUUCAUUCAGAUGGUUCAUUACAUCUCCACGACAUCCCUCUGUAACCAGGCAGUGAGGAUGCUGGAGUGCAGAGAGAAACCCACACCGGACAUGUUUGGAGAACUGCUCCGUAACGCCAGCAACAUGGGAGACCUGCGCAACUGUCCUAGCAAUUGUGGCGAGGUGUUGCGUAUUCGCCGGGUGCUGAUGAACUCGCCAGAGAUUGUGUCCAUCGGGCUGGUGUGGGACUCGGACCACUCUGACCUGGCAGAGGACGUCAUACACAGCCUGGGGACCUGCCUCCGUUUGGGAGAUUUGUUCUACCGUGUGACAGAGGAGAAGGCUCGUCAGGCGGAGCUCUAUUUGGUGGGCAUGGUGUGCUACUACGGCAAGCACUACUCCACCUUCUUCUUCCAGACCAAGAUACGCAAGUGGAUGUACUUCGACGACGCCCACGUCAAAGAGAUCGGCCCGAAGUGGAAGGACGUGGUGUCUCGCUGUAUCAAAGGCCACUAUCAGCCCCUGCUGCUGCUCUACGCUGACCCCCGUGGGACGCCAGUGAUACUGCAGGAGAGCCCCAACCCCUGUACCAGCUCCAACCCGCAGCUGGAGCUCCAGCACUGCAGCAGCAAGGCUGGUUACGACAGCGAAGACUCUGGCCGGGAGCCAUCCAUAUCCAGCGACACUCGCACCGACUCUUCAACAGAGAGCUCGAGUCACCGCGCCUGUCGGAGCCGCUCUCUCCACCAGUCCACAGGCAGCCACCUCUCCAGUGAAUCCCAGACCACAGUGGUCUGUAAUUACGACAUCGGCACGCCACCGCACACCGUUGACGCCAGAGAGUCAGCAGUGGAGGGUCCCCCCCGCCCUCCCUCUCCUCCGCUGCAGGAGUACAAGGAGACGGCCGUCUUCCUCCUGUCCUCCCGCAGGCCUCUCACCUCCUCCUCCUCUUCAUCUCGUCCCCUCUCCUCCUCCUCCUCGUCUGGAGUAGGGGGCUGCGAGAGUGGGGCUGGGGGGCCCCACUGGGAGGAUGAAAGCACCAGCAGUGAGAGCAAGUCCAGUUCUUCUGGAGGCCGCUACAGGCCCACCUGGAGGCCUCGGAGAGAGGCCCUGAACAUCGACAGCAUCUUCAUCCGCCAGCGAGCCUCCUCUCUGGGAUACAACACCCUGCCUGGUCCCUCUCAUCCUCCGGAGCCCCGGGACUCCCUCCCCUUGGCGGGACCCGCUCCACCCACACAGCCAGGGCUACUGGAGGCGGAACGGAGAGAGAUUGGGGAGUCGGAGACAGGGUUUGGGCUGGUGGGGCAGCCCAGGUCUGUGGGCAGUGGGCGGACGAUGGGUCCCCCUGCCCCUCCGCCUCUGAGAGGGGUGGAGCACCAGCCACGUCUGAUUCAGAGAAUGGAGAGUGGCUACGAGAGCAGUGAGAGAAACAGCAGCAGCCCCGAUAGGGAGGUGGGGCAACAGAAACGGGUGCUGAUGUCAGGCCCGUCAUGGCGCUCAGUGCCCAAGUCGAAGAGCAGUGGCGCCAUCCUGCAGGAGCUGCCCUCAGCCAGCUGGGGCAGGGGCGCCGCCACAGGCUCAGGGCGCAGCGAGCUGGAUGAGCUGCAGGAGGAGGUGGCGCGGAGAGCUCGCCAGCAGGAGCAGCAGAAGCGGAGGGAGGCAGAGCGGGAGGCAGCCAUGGGAUUCAACCCCAAACCCAGCAAAUUCAUGGACCUGGACCAGCUCCAACACCAGGCUGUGCUCAGACCCCUGCAUGAGGCUAACGCUCAUAGCGGAUUGGCUGUAGCUGCGUGCAUGAGGAGCACUGGGGGCCCAAUCAAACGCAGGCAGGAACAGGAAAUGGAACGGGAGACGGGAAGCGUCCGUCCACAGGGGCCUCACAGUGAACAGCCUGGCCCGGUCCAAGUUCUGCUGACGCCCAAUCAGGAGGAGGAAGAAGACCAGGCAGUGCCCAACCAGGAUUCUGCUCUGGGCCCGGACCCGCCCCUUCCACUCUAUCGGCCGGCUCCCCCUCGCCCCCCUCUCACCCUCAACAUUACUCACCCUUGUGCCCCUUCCAGCCGAGCGAAGGAGGACGAGGGUGGUUGUGUGGUGAGGAGAAGAGAGGAAGAGGAGGUUGGGAGGGAGGGGACAGGGGUGAGGAUGUGCGAGUUGCUGCAGGCAGGGGGGGUGAGCGUCAGACCUCUCGGGAAGCAUCUUGCCAUCUCUCUGCCCUCGCUUCCGUUGCGUCUCUGGGAUACACACACCGCACACUCCACACACCUUGAACCCCCGCACACACACCUUCCCCCUCCACCCUAUGCCCCUCCCUCCCCCCUGGAAGCAACUGGGGAGAGGAAACCUCUCGCGCCUCUCUGGCAGCCUCCGCAGCCCCACUCCCCCGCCGUCGCCACUCAGCACUGGCUGAGGCACGGAGCCGCCUCUGACGGCAGCACACGUCAUUGGUCCUCCUGGAGUUUGGACCGCCCUGAUGCCGUGGUGACACCGUACAGCACACCCCCAGACUGCUGUGUUCCCAUCGGGCCCCGGGUGUCCAGCCAGAACUACAGCUACAGUUGCCAGUCGUCUCCAGGGCACUACAGCUCCCAGCAUGCCCCAGGGCAACACGGUGACCCUCGCUGUGAACGCGAAGAGGCUGAGCUGACAGAGCUUGACUCCCUUUACCAGGCCAGUCUACAAGCAGGAAAGACAGGCUGCAGCCCAUCAGAGAGGCUCAUAUCCAGGGUGGGAGGGCAGGCUCGCUCUAAGACCCCCAACGCAGACAUGGAGAGGAGUGUGUACGGGGCAGACUGCACCAGCACCCCCACCUACCUCAACAAGCCAAUGAUGUUGCGUGAUCUGCGCUUUGGGGCGGAGCCUGACGAUGGGGAAAAUCGGAGGCAAAUUGGACGCAGCCUGAGUGGCACAGUAGUGACCUCGCGCCGCAGCCGCAUGACUGCAACCCGCAGCUUUGUGAAGCAGACUGAUGUCAGUUCCUCUCCUUGCUUACUUCCUCUCUUCUGAGUCCUUGUUGCUAUUCCACCACUAUCAUCUCUUCCAUCAUCCUCAUCACCUUGUCAUGACCACCUCCCUCCACUGCUUCACAGGAGCUGUCGGGCAGCGCGGGCAGUUUCUGGCUAUGUCUGACGGGGGUCAAGCUGUCAUCUGACCAGAGUCCUGCUCUGUUUCACUAAUGUCUCACCGCGUCCACUCCCACAUGGGGGCAGCGGCACCAGGGUCCUCGAUGGCCUCACCUUGACAGACCAGGCUCAGGAGGAUCAAAUUCAGCUACGAUCCCCACCUUUCUCCUUGUCCCUCAAACGACAUGCACACGCAAACACAUGCACGCACACAUGCACAUCUGCACUGAUGUAGAGCCUCCCCCUCAGCGCCUGCAGCAACCUGCUUCGCCCCUUUUUGCCUACUCCCCUCCUUUAACCUACUAUUCUGUCUAUGCAGUCACUCUGAACCCAACUACAACCUCAAGCUUCCUCCCCUACUUCCCUGGACUGUUGUUUCUUGUCUCCCCCUUGGUUUUCAGAGGGAUUUCCUGUGUAGCCAGCCUGGCGAGCAUGCCGCGGUCAUAUGGCAUUUUCAGUUUGCCGUUGGUGUCGCAUCGGCCCCGGUCUGACUGGGACCGGAGCUCUCAGCAGACUGGCCCUCUGUCUCACAGGACCCUCAGCUCAGGGGGAAGUUCUUACCAAGUAGCCACGCCUCUUCCUCUUUCUUCACGGGCAUUUCCUGUUGGGACGCACACUUAGCCGAACUGUUUCAGAUGGACAGCCAUAUUUUUUCUCUCUCUUUCUUUUUCGGGUUUGUCCGUUUGUUUUCUUCUUUCUGUGUGUGCGCACAGUAAACCCGCCCGAGACUGAACUCUCUAACAACUAAAAGUCAUGUACAGAAAAACACAUGUAUGAAACCUGUAUGUUAAUUAAUAAGACCUUAUGGAAUGUUGAUAAUGAUAAUUAACGAAUAUUGAUAAACUUAAAGUGGUACUUCCUCAUGUCUGCAUUUCAAAUACGAGUGGAGUGCACUUCACAAGUGUCUAGCUGGAGUUUCCGCCCCCAAACCGCUCGCCGACCUAAUGACAGCUCUCCCGUUUCUACCGGGAGAUUAAUCAAGAAAAGCGCUUCCUUUUUUUCCUCUGCUUCGUUCCUCUCCUUCUUUCCUUUCUUGCUCUCUGUUAUCCUUGCUUGCUUUCUUCCUUCCUAACAGGAAUCAGUAGCACCAGAAAUAGGCCAGCAGGGAAGGAAAGUCGAGAAGGAAUAAAGGGGAAUGUAGGCUUGGAAAUCCUUCUCUUAGGCUUUAUCCGUGAAACGAGAGAUGACUCAAGUGCGCUUUGCGAGAUUAUUUGGCAGAAGUGCACUUUCCGAAGGCUGUUUGACCGAGAAGCCGUUUGAGAGAAAUCAGUGGUGUUUGUUUUACUUAAAGGCCUCAGGUGAACUUCAGUGGCACUUAUGAAUUCACAUUUUGUUGUUUCUUUCUCCCACUGAAGCUGAUUUUGCAAUCUCAGAUGUGAAUAGAAAACUUGCUCAUCUUCAGCCUGAGACAGUGACAUGUCUAAUAUGAACAUACUUUAUAUGAUAUAUAUGUAUUAGAGGUAUAUUUUCAGCCAGUGAGCUAUCUUCUUUAGAGAUGUCAACCAUUCCUCAGUUAUAUGAACGGUUACUAUAAUGAACAGGUAAAAAUUAAUUCUCUCCCCGUUUACUGAGUAGCAUUUUGACGUAUGUAGAGAACAUUUAUUAUAUGCUUUAUUAAAUAUUAUAUAAAAAUAACAAAGUCCUUAUUUAAAGAAAAAACUGGCCUAUGUGAAGUUCUUCAAGACUUCAGUGAUGUUGAUUGAUCGAUGUAACUAAACCAAAGGUUGGCACUUAACUCAGAGAGCUUAUUUAGCAUUGACCUUUUGUUUUUUUCAUUUAGGUUCAAAUUUUUGUCAAUGUUUUUGGUUUGUUUGUUUGUUUGUUUUGGAGUUGUGGAUGUGGGAGAAUGUAGCCAAUUGUAGCGCAUGAGUCCGCUAUGCAAAUCAACCUUCCCUCACAAUCCUGUAUCAGAGACAGUCAGGAGGCAGACACACCCACCCACGGGCGCUCUCACAGACUCUGGCCAAGACACCGAGAGGAAGAAGGAGAAUCUCAUGUUUAAUGCUGCUGGUGAACUUUGUUGUUCUGCAUCUACUGCUACGUUUCAUUCAAUGGAAUGCAAAAAGAGCAACAAGGAGAGAUUAAGAUGGAGAGAGAGGAUGAAUGAAUGUAAACCGGGAUGAACGUGUGUGUUUCGUGAAUGGCAUGAUUGUCAGAGGAGGGUAGAGAGUGAACCAGGUACUUCUAAGGAUGGUUUAUUGUUAGUGGGUGUGUGCAGACUAUGUGUGUCAGUUCUGGGCUGUUGUUGCUCGGGGAUAGAGGGAACCUGUAUUUUUGCAAUAAAGUUAUUACCAAUGCACUCCCACAGGGGGCGUAACCACCUUAA